GCCACAAAAGCUCCUAACCCUGAGCGUUGGUCUUGUAAGCCAAAAGCAGGACACCAGUCCUUGUGGCU
rnacentral:tRNA from 1 species